AUUGUACUCUCUCUGUUCAAAAAAGCUUGUCCCUCAAAUAGAUGUAAAUAGCACCAAGUUGAUACUAGAUACAUCCAUUUGAAGACAAGCUUGGGACAAGUUUUUUCGGACGGAGGGAGUAUCAU
rfam:Triticum aestivum genome assembly, contig: Triticum_aestivum_CS42_TGACv1_scaffold_622267_7DS